ensembl:snRNA
GUGUUGUAUGAAAGGAGAGAAGGUUAACACUCCCUUGGCAAGGAAAGAAGAGGCUUUGGCCUGCAGCGCACAUAUGGUUUGGGCUGGGUCGGGGUGCACCUGGUUGAGCACACGUUACA